GUUACUUAAUUUUCUUCAUUCCAGUACCAGUCCUUGUUAUGGUCUUCGCUGUUUUCAUUAGUUAUUAGUUAGUUAUCGCUGUGUCUAGUUAAGUGCCCCUUACCCUGUACGUGUAAACCCUGCCUUUUUACCCGUGUGGUGGCUGGUCAUUGUUGCUUCUAGCCGUUUGUUAAUCCUAAUUCUAGCUUUCGUUUAUCCUAUCCUCUGUGUGAUUCCUAGCGUCUUUGUUAUAGCGUUCCCUGGUUCUCAUCGCGUGCUUUUGUUUACGAUGUAUUCCCGGACUAAUUGGUAAAUUAGCCAUGGAUUGUGACUACCCCUCUGAUUGUGGUUUUUGUCCUUAAUAAUCUCGCUCUUCAAUUUGUGCAUCCGCCUCACAAGCAUUCUGGUUACAGAAUUAGCUCUCCAGGGACGCAGCGAUGAGAGCGAGACUGUGGUUGUUGCUUUGCGACAAAACUCCGACUGUUUCCACAAAGCGUGAGUCUGCUCCGUCUCAGUCAUGAUCCGUCUUGAUCAAUGCUGCAGGGAGGAGCGACCUGCAUCGCAAGAUGUACAAUUGCCCAACAGAGAGAACAGCACCAAAAUAUACAAUAUUGCAUCGCUUCCUGCCAAAUGAUGGAGUUACAAAGGAGAAGACACCCUGCCUGAAUGUUACCUGAACAGGGAAACAUACCGGAUGUAACACUAUCCAGCAGACAAUUUAGCUGCGUUAUAUUAUAUCCAGCAGAAGCGUUCUCUGAAACCACGUGAUUGUCUUGCAAGCCACUGAAUGGGUGGCGUUCGGAAUCCCCCACUAGGAAAUCCCAGUGACCACCAUGUACAAAUUUUCCCAGUGAAUGUUUGCCCUUCUGCAGUAUUAUGGUCAGCUUCUGCUUUAUUCGCUUUAUUCUAAGAUUUAUUCGACACCUAAAUGCUCUCUAUCAUCAGACGAGAUCAAUCGUAAUGAAAAGUUAAGAUAUUACGGAACGCCCUUAACAUUGGUGACGGUAGUGCGGCACCUAGUGGACAAGCGAUGCCUGGGCUGUAGAGGGAGGUUUGGAAAGAGGGUGUGGGAUUAAGAGGUGGGGCGGGGCCUUCAGAGGAUGUGUGGUGGAAAUUAGUACAAACUUCAAAAUCAUUGAAGCUUUAAUGUUAAAUAAUGACAAAUCUCAGUGGGUUUUUUGGUCAGAGGUAGUUAGUAGCCAGAACCCAUACUCAGGUGAAAGUAUUAUUGCUUUAAAAUAUUUAUAAUAAUUACUCAAGUCUCAUUUAAUAAUACUGGGAAACGAAAUUAUAACAUUUUUGUCCUACAAACUAAAACAAAUGGACCUUUAUUCUACUUAUGUACAAACCUACUUAUAAAAUGUACAGGUUGUGGUGAGUUGUGCAUUAAAUUAAAAUUAUUUCAGAUUUGACAGGAGGAACUUAAGGAAUGAAUUUAAGGAAAUAAAAGUAAAUUUUUAACCCCACAAAUGUAAGUGACUUGAGUAAGAGUUUAAAGUGGCAUGUUUUAAAAAAACAAGUAUUAAAAAUACAAUUUAUUCAAAACGUUUCUUAAGUAAAUAUAAUAUAGCAUGCUAUUAUCCACCUCUACUUUUCCAUAACAAAGA